GCAUAUCAAUAAGCGGAGGAAAAGAAACCAACAGGGAUUGCCCCAGUAACGGCGAGUGAAGCGGCAACAGCUCAAAUUUGAAAUCUGGCCUUCGGGUCCGAGUUGUAAUUUGGAGAGGAUGCUUCUGGCGCGGCGCCGUCCGAGUUCCUUGGAACAGGACGCCAUAGAGGGUGAGAGCCCCGUACGGGCGGCCGCCUAGCCUUUGUGAAGCUCCUUCGACGAGUCGAGUAGUUUGGGAAUGCUGCUCAAAAUGGGAGGUAAAUUUCUUCUAAAGCUAAAUACCGGCCAGAGACCGAUAGCGCACAAGUAGAGUGAUCGAAAGAUGAAAAGCACUUUGAAAAGAGGGUUAAAAAGUACGUGAAAUUGUUGAAAGGGAAGCGCCUGUGACCAGACUUGCGGCCCGCGGAUCAUCCGGUGUUCUUCACCGGUGCACUCCGCGGGCUGCAGGCCAGCAUCGGUUUUCCUAGGGGGACAAAGGUCGCGGGAACGUAGCUCUUUCGGGAGUGUUAUAGCCCGUGGCGUCAUGCCUCUGGGGGGACCGAGGACCGCGCUUCGGCAAGGAUGCUGGCGUAAUGGUCACCGGCGACCCGUCUUGAAACACGGACCAAGGAGUCAAGCAUUGGGGCGAGUGUCUGGGUGCCAAACCCGCACGCGAAAUGAAAGUAAACGCAGGUGAGAGCUUCGGCGCAUCACCGACCGAUCCUGAUGUCUUCGGAUGGAUUUGAGUAAGAGCCUUACCGCUUGGACCCGAAAGAUGGUGAACUAUGCCUGUAUAGGGUGAAGCCAGAGGAAACUCUGGUGGAGGCUCGCAGCGGUUCUGACGUGCAAAUCGAUCGUCAAAUAUGGGCAUGGGGGCGAAAGACUAAUCGAACCAUCUAGUAGCUGGUUACCGCCGAAG
rnacentral:rRNA from 1 species